ACGGAAGGCAGCAGUGGGGAAUAUUGCACAAUGGGCGAAAGCCUGAUGCAGCGACGCCGCGUGAGUGAAGAAGUAUCUCGGUAUGUAAAGCUCUAUCAGCAGGGAAGAAAAUGACGGUACCUGACUAAGAAGCCCCGGCUAACUACGUGCCAGCAGCCGCGGUAAUACGUAGGGGGCAAGCGUUAUCCGGAUUUACUGGGUGUAAAGGGAGCGUAGACGGUUUGGCAAGUCUGAAGUGAAAUGCGGGGGCUCAACUCCUGAACUGCUUUGGAAACUGUCGAACUAGAGUGCAGGAGAGGUAAGUGGAAUUCCUAGUGUAGCGGUGAAAUGCGUAGAUAUUAGGAGGAACACCAGUGGCGAAGGCGGCUUACUGGACUGUAACUGACGUUGAGGCUCGAAAGCGUGGGGAGCAAACAGGGUUAGAUACCCUGGUA
rnacentral:rRNA from 1 species